rnacentral:misc_RNA from 1 species
AAGUCGUAACAAGGUUUCCGUAGGUGAACCUGCGGAAGGAUCAUUAACACGAAACUCCACGUUUCAUACCAACCUGUGGUCUUGUAACUUUCUAUUUUUUGGGUGGGGAACGAAAAAGGCACUCCGUGUCCUAUUUGUUUUCUGCCUGAGAAAUUUUAUAUCUUACAAAAAACCCCUUGUAUCAUCUAUUGACUGAACCAAUGGAAGCUUUGAGUACCCUUUACGGGGCGCUCGCUUCUUGAUAUUACGAAACUCUGAACAACUCUAAGCAACGGAUAUCUUGGUUCUC